rnacentral:rRNA from 1 species
GAUGAACGCUAGCGGCAGGCUUAAUACAUGCAGGUCGAGGGGCAGCAUGAUUGUAGCAAUACAAUUGAUGGCGACCGGCAAACGGGUGCGGAACACGUACACAACCUUCCAAUAAGUGGGGAAUAGCCCAGAGAAAUUUGGAUUAAUACCCCGUAACAUAACGAUGUGGCAUCACAUUGUUAUUAUAGAUUUUUCGCUUAUUGAUGGGUGUGCGGCUGAUUAGAUAGUUGGCGGGGUAACGGCCCACCAAGUCUACGAUCAGUAGCUGAUGUGAGAGCAUGAUCAGCCACACGGGCACUGAGACACGGGCCCGACUCCUACGGGAGGCAGCAGUAAGGAAUAUUGGACAAUGGACGCAAGUCUGAUCCAGCCAUGCCGCGUGAAGGAUUAGGGUCCUCUGGAUUGUAAACUUCUUUUAUAAGGGACGAAAAAAGGCUUUUCUAAGUCGUCUGACGGUACCUUAUGAAUAAGCACCGGCUAACUCCGUGCCAGCCGCCGCCGUAAUAC